ACGCUCGACACCUACGGGGGCAGCAGUGGGGAAUAUUGCACAAUGGGGGAAACCCGUGAUGCAGCGACGCCGCGUGGAGGAAGAAGGUCUUCGGAUUGUAAACUCCUGUUGUUGGGGAAAAAGAGGAUGGUACCCAACAAGGAAGUGACGGCUAACUACGUGCCUGCAGCCGCGGUAAUCUGAGCGGGCUGGCAAGGC
rnacentral:rRNA from 1 species